rnacentral:ncRNA from 2 species
CCUAAAUCGCCCACAGACGGUCCUUCGCCCGCAACGGCGGAGGCUAAGAGGGAAUGCGGUGCGGCGCAUAUGCGCCAAAACCGCGGCUGUCCCCGCAACUGUGAGCGAAGAGCCAGACCCGAAGACCACUGGGAUUUCCCGGGAAGGCGGGCGAAGGCGACGAUCCGCAAGCCAGGAGACCUGCCGUCGCAGACAUUGAUCC